UACGGAGGGAGCUAGCGUUGUUCGGAAUCACUGGGCGUAAAGCGCACGUAGGCGGCUACUCAAGUCGGGGGUGAAAGCCCGGGGCUCAACCCCGGAACUGCCCUCGAAACUAGGUAGCUAGAAUCUUGGAGAGGCGAGUGGAAUUCCGAGUGUAGAGGUGAAAUUCGUAGAUAUUCGGAAGAACACCAGUGGCGAAGGCGACUCGCUGGACAAGUAUUGACGCUGAGGUGCGAAAGCGUGGGGAGCAAACAGGAUUAGAUACCCUAGUAGUCC
rnacentral:rRNA from 1 species